rnacentral:rRNA from 1 species
AUUGGGACUGAGAUACGGCCCAGACUCCUACGGGAGGCAGCAGUGGGGAAUAUUGCACAAUGGGCGGAAGCCUGAUGCAGCGACGCCGCGUGGGGGAUGAAGGCCUUCGGGUUGUAAACUCCUUUCGACAGGGACGAAGCGUAAGUGACGGUACCUGUAUAAGAAGCACCGGCUAACUACGUGCCAGCAGCCGCGGUAAUACGUAGGGUGCGAGCGUUGUCCGGAAUUACUGGGCGUAAAGAGCUCGUAGGUGGUUUGUCGCGUCGUCUGUGAAAUUCCGGGGCUUAACUCCGGGCGUGCAGGCGAUACGGGCUGACUUGAGUGCUGUAGGGGAGACUGGAAUUCCUGGUGUAGCGGUGAAAUGCGCAGAUAUCAGGAGGAACACCGAUGGCGAAGGCAGGUCUCUGGGCAGUAACUGACGCUGAGGAGCGAAAGCAUGGGUAGCGAACAGGAUUAGAUACCCUGGUAGUCCAUGCCGUAAACGGUGGGCGCUAGGUGUAGGGGGCUUCCACGUCUUCUGUGCCGUAGCUAACGCAUUAAGCGCCCCGCCUGGGGAGUACGGCCGCAAGGCUAAAACUCAAAGGAAUUGACGGGGGCCCGCACAAGCGGCGGAGCAUGUGGAUUAAUUCGAUGCAACGCGAAGAACCUUACCUGGGCUUGACAUAUACAAGACAGGCGUAGAGAUACGUCCUCCCUUGUGGUUUGUAUACAGGUGGUGCAUGGUUGUCGUCAGCUCGUGUCGUGAGAUGUUGGGUUAAGUCCCGCAACGAGCGCAACCCUUGUCUUAUGUUGCCAGCAUUUGGUUGGGGACUCAUGAGAGACUGCCGGGGUCAACUCGGAGGAAGGUGGGGAUGACGUCAAAUCAUCAUGCCCCUUAUGUCCAGGGCUUCACACAUGCUACAAUGGUCGGUACAACGCGCAGCGACACUGUGAGGUGGAGCGAAUCGCUGAAAGCCGGCCUUAGUUCGGAUUGGGGUCUGCAACUCGACCCCAUGAAGUCGGAGUCGCUAGUAAUCGCAGAUCAGCAACGCUGCGGUGAAUACGUUCCCGGGCCUUGUACACACCGCCCGUCACGUCAUGAAAGUUGGUAACACCCGAAGCCAGUGGCUCAAACUCGUUAGGGAGCUGUCGAAGGUGGGAUCGGCGAUUGGGACGAAGUCGUAACAAGGUAGCCGUACCGGAAGGUGCGGCUGG